GACGAACGCUGGCGGCGUGCUUAACACAUGCAAGUCGAACGAAGUGGCGAACGGGUGAGUAACACGUCAUCAACUUGCCCUUCAGAGGGGGACAACAGUUGGAAACGACUGCUAAUACCGCAUACUGAAGAUGGGGAUUGCGUUUGAUUAGCUAGUGGGAGGGGUAACGGCCCACCAAGGAGAUGGUCAGUAGCCGGUCUGGGCGGAUGAACGGCAACAUUGGGACUGGGACACUGCCCAGACUCCUACGGGAGGCAGCAGGGGGGAAUCUUCCGCAAAGGACGAAAGUCUGACGGAGCAACGCCGCGUGAGUGAUGACAGCCUUCGGGUUGGAAAGCUCUGUUAAUCGGGACGCGGUACCGGAAUAGAAAGCCACGGCUAACUACGUGCCAGCAGCCGCGGUAAUUC
rnacentral:rRNA from 1 species